UGUAAAGGGCGGAGCUUAUAACAAUGACUGACAGGGAGCUAAGAUGGAGGUGGCUCUCUCUAUACUGACUGCCAGGUGUAAAGGGCGGAGCUUAUAACAAUGAUUGACAGGGAGCUAAGAUGGAGGCUGCUCUCUCUAUACUGACUGCCAGGUGUAAAGGGCGGAGCUUAUAACAAUGAUUGACAGGGAGCUAAGAUGGAGGCGGCUCUCUCUAUACUGACUGCCAGGUGUAAAG